CCUGGAUCCAGCCGCCUCUGAAAAGCCCCCAUGACCACAUGAGGCUUUAGGGGGACAUCUAGACACAGCCAUCACAAGCCCCAAAGUGGAAAAGCCCUGGAUCUCCACCAAGUGGAGAACAGACGGAACACAGCGCCUCCCUGAAGGAAAUGUUCAUCCACACCGAGGGAUGAGCCCUGUGUGUCUUUCAACACCACGAUCCUGGAGAGCGUCAGGCCAAGAGGGAGAAGCUAGCAGGCAGGGCUGCACGUCGUGUGAUCCUGGCCCUGUGCCACUUGGACCGCAAGUCUCGGAGACGGAGAUGGAGGAUCUGCCCAGUCUCGCUCAGCACCCUGGUGGCUUCACCUGGCAGGGACCCCUCGUGUCCGCCUGGAGCAGCAGUCUGGCCCCACAGAGCAGCUCCAAUGACACUGCGCCUCCUGCUUCCCAAGAACCCAGGGGUCUUACUGGCACCCGACAGUCCCUGACCAUCAGGGCAGAUGUGUUUCCUCUCAUGACCCGAACCGUGGUGAUCAGCAGGGCCUCGGGCAGCUCCCCCCACCCCACCCACUCACUGUGUGACAUGUUGGGAAUUGCACAUGGCAACUAAUCAGCGACAACAAGAGGACGUGAGGAUCUUGAGAUGUGCAGAAUGAAAAGAUCUCGUGACUAGUAGGAUGUGGUGGUGCAUACCCAUCAGUCUAGCACUCAGGAGGCUGAGGCAGGAGGAUCACCAUGAAUUCGAGGCCACCCUGGG
ensembl:lncRNA